GGGGGCAUAGCUUAGUUGGUAGAGCGCUGCCCUUGCACGGCAGAGGCCAGCGGUUCGAGUCCGCUUGCCUCCA
rnacentral:tRNA from 1 species